UACGAGGGGGGCGAGCGUUGUUCGGAAUUAUUGGGCGUAAAGGGUGCGUAGGCGGUUUGGUAAGUCUCGUGUGAAAUCUCCGGGCUCAACUCGGAGCCUGCACGAGAAACUGCCGGGCUUGAGUGUGGGAGAGGUGAGUGGAAUUCCUGGUGUAGCGGUGAAAUGCGUAGAUAUCGGGAGGAACACCUGUGGCGAAAGCGGCUCACUGGACCACAACUGACGCUGAGGCGCGAAAGCUAGGGGAGCAAACAGG
rnacentral:rRNA from 1 species